UUAACGCGUGGGAAUCUACCUUAGAGUGGGGAAUAACAAUUAGAAAUGAUUGCUAAUACCGCAUAUACCCUCCGGGGGAAAGGCUUCGGCCGCUCUUAGAUGAGCCCGCGUACGAUUAGUUUGUUGGUGAGGUAAAGGCUCACCAAGACUACGAUCGUUAGCUGGUUUGAGAGGAUGAUCAGCCACACUGGGACUGAGAUACGGCCCAGACUCCUACGGGAGGCAGCAGUGGGGAAUAUUGGACAAUGGGCGAAAGCCUGAUCCAGCCAUGCCGCGUGAGUGAAGAAGGCCUUUGGGUUGUAAAACUCUUUCGGCAGGGAAGAUAAUGACGGUACCUGCGGAAGAAGCUCCGGCUAACUCCGUGCCAGCAGCCGCGGUAAUACGGAGGGGGCAAGCGUUGCUCGGAAUUACUGGGCGUAAAGCGAGCGUAGGCGGUAAUCAAGUUGGUGGUGAAAGCCCGGAGCUCAACUCCGGAACUGCCAUCAAAACUGAUUUACUUGAGAUUGG
rnacentral:rRNA from 1 species